rnacentral:rRNA from 1 species
AGAGUUUGAUUAUGGCUCAGGAUGAACGCUGGCGGCGUGCCUAAUGCAUGCAAGCCGAACGGCCUGAUUUAUCAGGCAGUGGCAGACGGGUGAGUAACGCGUAAGAACUUACCCUAAAGUGGGGGACAACCUCGAGAAAUCGGGGCUAAUACCGCAUACGCUCCGCAAGGAGGAAAGCUACGGCGCUUUAGGAUGGGCUUGCGCCCUAUCAGGUAGUUGGUGAGGUAAUGGCCCACCAAGCCUUAGACGGGUAGCUGGUCUGAGAGGAUAAUCAGCCACACUGGAAUUGAGAUACGGUCCAGACUCCUACGGGAGGCAGCAGCAGGGAAUAUUGCGCAAUGGGGUGAAAGCCUGACGCAGCAACGCCGCGUGGGGGAUGACGGCUUUCGAGUUGUAAACCCCUUUUCUUGGGGAAGAUAAUGACGGUACCCAAGGAAUAAGUCUCGGCUAACUACGUGCCAGCAGCCGC